CCCGGCAAUGAAUUGCCGGGCUAUUCCCAUACGUCCCUACGGGACU
rnacentral:sRNA from 1 species